rnacentral:rRNA from 1 species
UCCUACGGGAGGCAGCAGUGGGGAAUUUUGCGCAAUGGGCGAAAGCCUGACGCAGCGACGCCGCGUGGAGGAUGAAGGUCUUCGGAUUGUAAACUCCUUUUGCAGGGGAAGAUAAUGACGGUACCCUGCGAAUAAGCCACGGCUAACUCUGUGCCAGCAGCCGCGGUAAUA